CCUACGGGUGGCAGCAGUGAGGAAUAUUGGUCAAUGGACGAGAGUCUGAACCAGCCAAGUAGCGUGAAGGAUGACUGCCCUAUGGGUUGUAAACUUCUUUUAUAUGGGAAUAAAAUGUUCCACGUGUGGGAUUUUGUAUGUAACAUAUGAAUAAGGAUCGGCUAACUCCGUGCCAGCAGCCGCGGUAAUACGGAGGAUCCGAGCGUUAUCCGGAUUUAUUGGGUUUAAAGGGCGCGUAGGUGGAUCGUUAAGUCAGUUGUGAAAGUUUGCGGCUCAACCGUAAAAUUGCAGUUGAUACUGGCAGUCUUGAGUACAGUAGCGGUAGGCGGAAUUCGUGGUGUAGCGGUGAAAUGCUUAGAUAUCACGAAGAACUCCGAUUGCGAAGGCAGUUCACUGGACUGCAACUGACACUGAGGCUCGAAAGUGUGGGUAUCAAACAGGAUUAGAUACCCCAGUAGUC
rnacentral:rRNA from 1 species